rnacentral:rRNA from 1 species
UACGUAGGGUGCAAGCGUUGUCCGGAAUUAUUGGGCGUAAAGAGCUCGUAGGCGGUUUGUCGCGUCUGCUGUGAAAACUCAGGGCUUAACCCUGAGCCUGCAGUGGGUACGGGCAGACUAGAGUGUGGUAGGGGAAAUCGGAAUUCCUGGUGUAGCGGUGGAAUGCGCAGAUAUCAGGAGGAACACCGGUGGCGAAGGCGGAUCUCUGGGCUGACACUGACGCUCAUGCACGAAAGCGUGGGGAGCAAACAGG